rnacentral:pre_miRNA from 1 species
AACUUAACAUCAUACUACCUCUUUAUAUCAUAUUUUGUUAUUCUGGUCUCAGAAUGACAGUAUUCUGUGCCAGGGAAGGUAGUUCUUAACUAUAU